UGAGGAAUAUUGGUCAAUGGACGGAAGUCUGAACCAGCCAAGUAGCGUGCAGGAUGACGGCCCUAUGGGUUGUAAACUGCUUUUGUAUGGGGAUAAAGUUAGGGACGUGUCCCUAUUUGCAGGUACCAUACGAAUAAGGACCGGCUAAUUCCGUGCCAGCAGCCGCGGUAAUACGGAAGGUCCAGGCGUUAUCCGGAUUUAUUGGGUUUAAAGGGAGCGUAGGCUGGAGAUUAAGUGUGUUGUGAAAUGUAGACGCUCAACGUCUGAAUUGCAGCGCAUACUGGUUUCCUUGAGUACGCACAACGUUGGCGGAAUUCGUCGUGUAGCGGUGAAAUGCUUAGAUAUGACGAAGAACUCCGAUUGCGAAGGCAGCUGACGGGAGCGCAACUGGCGCUUAAGCUCGAAGGUGCGGGUAUCAAACAGGAUUAGAUACCCUGGUAGUCCGCACAGUAAACGAUGGAUGCCCGCUGUUGGUACCUGGUAUCAGCGGCUAAGCGAAAGCAUUAAGCAUCCCACCUGGGGAGUACGCCGGCNCGG
rnacentral:rRNA from 1 species